rnacentral:rRNA from 1 species
CCUACGGGAGGCAGCAGUGGGGAAUAUUUGACAAUGGGGGGAACCCUGAUCCAGCGACGCCGCGUGAGUGAAGAAGUAUUUCGUUAUUUAAAGCUCUAUCAGCAGGGAAGAAAGAAAUGACGGUACCUGACUAAGAAGCCCCGGCUAACUACGUGCCAGCCGCCGCCGUAAUACGUAGGGGGCAAGCGUUAUCCGGAUUUACUUGGUGUAAAGGGAGCGUAGGCGGCGGUGGAAGGCUGAAGUGAAAGGCGGGGGCCCAACCCGCGGACUGCUUUGGAAACUGUUUGGCUGGAGUGCAGGAGAGGUAAGUGGAAUUCCUAGUGUAGCGGUGAAAUGCGUAGAUAUUAGGAGGAACACCAGUGGCGAAGGCGGCUUACUGGACAGUAACUGACGUUGAGGCACGAAAGCGUGGGGAGCAAACAGGAUUAGAUACCCUGGUAGUC